GACGAGCCGUGCGAACGUUGUUCGGAAUCACUGGGCUUAAAGGGCGCGUAGGCGGCUCGCGAGGUCGGGGGUGAAAUCCCACGGCUUAACCGUGGAAGGGCCUUCGAUACCGGCGGGCUGGAGGAAGGUAGGGGUGCGCGGAACUUCUGGUGGAGCGGUGAAAUGCGUUGAUAUCAGAAGGAACGCCGGCGGCGAAAGCGGCGCACUGGACCUUUUCUGACGCUGAGGCGCGAAAGCCAGGGGAGCAAACGGG
rnacentral:rRNA from 1 species